UACAGAGGGUGCAAGCGUUGUUCGGAAUUAUUGGGCGUAAAGGGCGCGUAGGCGGUGCGGUAAGUCUGUAGUGAAAUCUCUGGGCUCAACUCAGAGUCUGCUGCAGAAACUGCCGUGCUUGAGUGUGGGAGAGGUGAGUGGAAUUCCCGGUGUAGCGGUGAAAUGCGUGGAUAUCGGGAGGAACACCUGUGGCGAAAGCGGCUCACUGGACCACAACUGACGCUGAGGCGCGAAAGCUAGGGGAGCAAACAGG
rnacentral:rRNA from 1 species